UCACCGGGCACCGCCCACUCCGCGAACUUCGCGUGGAAACUCCGGCUGUCGAGGGCUUCGUGAUAUUUCCAGGUUCCCCUGCUUAUGUCGACCGUGAGGACAGCGGGACACGCAGCCAUGCAGUCUGGACAGAGUGAGGAAGUUCUUCAGGGCCACCUCUACAGCACCAUGCAGCAGAUUCUGGCCAAUCAGAACAGAGUACAGCCCAUCAUAGGGCUGAGCGCUAUGACUGAAUGUUACUGCAGUGUGUAUCCACCCAUGUAUGUGUGUGAGGUUUGCUCCCUCCUGCUGACCAAAGCUGAAAUAAAAAAUCACAUCACAGGCAGCCAACACCGCUUCUGCUACAUUAAGUCUCGUCAUGCGUAUGAUUGGCAGGCGGAUGCUGACCUGACGUUGCUGGUGUGGCCCCUGAAGGAGGUGGCCCGGGUUCUGGAGAGCAGGGAGGGCACCGGGAAGGUCCAGGUGUUGGAGUUGGAUGAAGAGACGUACAGAAAUAUGACAUCUGAUCCUGCUUCAGCUGUUACUCUACUACAAGCGACUAGGAGGCAGCAGAAAAAAGUAAAAGUUGCAGAUGCCCCGCCCACCAGCGUCAUACCUGACCACGCCUCCUCAGAGGGUUCACCUGGUGACGGGCUCCUGGUUCCAGACAGACGUUCCAGCAGCGAAUCAGAUGACACCAUGAGCUCCUCCGUUCACCUGCCUGGACCCAGUGCUGCAGGACCAGAUCCUGCUACUCUGUCUGUCAAGGCGGAGCUCCCAGGGACCUUCAGCCAAUUAGAAGAGCGGUUGCAGGAACCAUUUGUUAAAUAUGAUGGACCAAAGCCUUUGAUUGGUCUGCAGGCUGUGGUUCAGUGUGUGGGAGACGUCGGGGCCCCGCCCCCUUGCUGUUAUCUCUGCCAAUCGUGCAGUAAGAGGGUGACGGACGAUCACAUCAUCGAUCACCUGACUAGUGCAUUUCACCAGUACCACUACAUUAAGUCCCAGCAUUCGCACCUUCUACGGAAGAUGAAGGUUGGGAUGAACGGUAUCAGCGUCGCCCUGCGGGCGCUUUCUGUGGUUCUCGAGCGUGAGAAGGGGCGGGGCCAAAUGCAGGUGAAGAGGACUUCUACCUCCCUCCUCUGCGAGGUUCUACAGAGACCGUUCCAGUGGGGAAUGGAGGCGUUAAACCUCCCAGCCGUUAAGGGAGAGAAGCUGGAGGCGGAGUCAGACGCCCUGACUGAGGCUGCGGUGUGGAGUGAUGGGAUUUGUCCCAAACUGUCCGUCACGUUGGCCCCGUGUGCCAUAGGCGGCCACGAGGCUGCCGCCAAACACGGUCCCGCGGUGUCUGAGGCGGCAAAUGCAGGGAAGCCGACGCCCUCGCAGCCCAUGUUUAAGGUCACGCUGCCUUUAAGGGAGGGGCCAGUUUUGGUGCAGCGGGCGGAGUUCGGGCGGAGAGCUGCCAAGCGCAAACGGCGCAGUGCCCACCGUGACUGGUUCAGUCGGGUGGAGGUGUGCACGGACACAAUGUUCGACGGUUGGCGGAACACACACCCACGCCCCCCCAAGAAGAAGAAGAAGCCCAAGCGCAAGGCACCAGUGAAGGCGGGGCAGGCGAAGACCAGCUACCACUGA
rnacentral:lncRNA from 1 species